rnacentral:sRNA from 1 species
UUAUUCAUAAGCUCAGUCUUAGCUUCAGUCUUUUCUGAGCAUUUGUUUAUUUGUAAGAUGGAAGUCAAAGUAAGUGGGAAGUCUGUAGGUCAGCUCUAUUUUCCAUGCCUGCCCUUGACUUCUCCUCAGCUGUUCUCUGCCUGUGCAGGUGAGGCAGGGGAGGUGGUUGGUCCAGAGAGAACUAAAAGAAGUUGUUUUCUUGGACUAUAGGUCCAGCUGCAAGGCAGGGUGCCUUUCCUAUGUGUUCCUCUUUUCACUAAAAGACUCAAAAUGCUUUAGCAGCUAGAUCUGGAACUAACUCUUCCGGAUGGGGUAGGAACUUCCCUGCCCUUCCCUUAGGGAAGCUCAUGUUUCCAAGUCAGACAGCAGGGGGCAUGGGUGCCUUUCGGACAGAAGGAAGCUGCCUAAGCUAGAAGGCCUGCCUGCUGUAGUUUAUUUCUUUUGCCUUGUUCAGUGAAUUUACCCAGAGGGUGGCUGAGAUUGAGGCUUUGGGAGCCCCAAGAAGCUGCUUGGUUUUAAUGUGCUGCCUUAUAGCUGAGCCUGUUGUGCUCAGGGCAAGUAGUAGGAUGUUCCCCCUGGGAUGUGCAAGGUUCUCUCAAGCAGACAUGAGCCUCCAUCACUCCCACCACUCCCUGCAACUCAGCCUCCUCUUCUCAGCCUGUGCCUUCCUCCAGUUCUAGUAAACAGUGCCAAAUGAAUAUAGUUCUCCGACUCUUCUCUGGGGGUUCAUUGGCAGCUGCUGCUUUCUUCAUUUUUUAAAAUUUAUUUGCCACUUGGUGAAAGCCACUGAGAUGGUUUUUUCCAGCCUUGGGCAAGUUGGAGCUUUGGAAUCUGGAGUGAAUGAGGUCAUCUGGAUUUCAUUGUCUUCUUACGAAGCCAGCAGUAAGCUUGGGCAGUCCACUCACCCACCCCUAGGGCCAUAUCUGGGGAUGAAGCCACCCCUGACCUAUACAUAGGAAAUGAUUGAUGUGCCUGGUCUUAUACCCAGUCUGUGUCUGGUUUCUCUACCCUCAGUGCCCUUUGGCUUAGGCUCAGGAUGGGUGGGCCUCCCUUCCCCAGCAGCUGCCUCAGCCCUGAUCAAGGGCAGUUAUUUGGCUCAAGGUGAGUAGUGGUUUUUAAACCCUACUCCCACACACUGCUGAGUCUGUGUUUUCCUUUCUUCCUGACCAGGUAAACUGUCUUGAGCCCCACCCUCACCUGCCUGUGCUGGCAACCAGUGGCCUAGACCAUGAUGUGAAGAUCUGGGCACCCACAGCUGAAGCUUCCACUGAGCUGACAGGGUUAAAAGAUGUGAUUAAGAAGAACAAGCGGGAGCGGGAUGAAGAUAGCUUGCACCAAACUGACCUGUUUGAUAGUCACAUGCUGUGGUUCCUUAUGCAUCACCUGAGACAGAGACGCCAUCACCGGGUAAGCUAGGGUUGGAAAUGAAUUCCCAAGGGAGUGACCCUUUUAAGAGGGCUAAAAAGUUCCAGAGUAGUGACUUCAAGCAGUAAUCAGGUGAUCUUGGUUGGAUUUCCUAUCCAUUGUCCUCUAUCCCCAUCAGAUCCCUGAUAUAGCCUUGGAAGAGACAUCAGCAGAAAAGGGUGGUAUCUACUUUUGUCCAUUGCCGUCCAUGUGUAAUGCUAUCUUCAUAAAGGCAAAAGCUGGAGGGUGGAGGAGGGAAUUGAGAAGAAAUAACAAGUCUCAGUGUGACCCUUCUAUUUUUCCUCUUAUGCCAAAAGAGGCCUAGUUCAGGGGUUGGCAAACUGGCAGUUGGCCUGCUGCUGGUUUUUGUAAAUAAAGUUUCAUUGGCUUGCAGCCACACCCAUUCUGUGUAUUGUCUGUGGCGGCCUUCACGCUACAAUGAGUUGAAUAGUUGCAAUAAAGACCAUAUAGACCAC